ensembl:lncRNA
GCGUGCGGGCUGAGUACCCCCACCCCGGAGACGCCGCUGGCCCCAUUGACGCUGUGGGGCCGCGUGGAGGAGGCGGCCAAGAACUUCAGCGACCGCCUAUGGGGCAGUGAUGUGGGGCAGACCGUGCAGUCGCUGCUGACGGUGCUGCGCUCGGAGGCGGCGGACGCGCGGCUCCGCGUUGCGGAGUACGGGGCGGAGGUGGAGCAAAGCGUCGCCUCCCUCAGCAAACGCCUCCGCCGCCGUUUCUCCCGCGACGGCGAAGAGCUCCGCUCCCGCACAACCCAUUGCCAUUGCAAUGCACAGCAGCAGUGCAGGAGCUGCAAAGUAGCUGCGUUGCAACCCUCGAGGUGUGCGGUGCUCACGUUGCAAUGCACGUGUUGCAACGAGGUUGCAUUCCUAUGCACGGGCUGCAAAUCCCAGUAUGACCCCAUUGCCCCCCCAUUCUAAUCCCAGUUUAAUCCCAGUAUAACCCCAUUAUAACCCCAUUACAAUCCCAUUGCCGCCUCAUUCUAAUCCCAGUAUAACCCCAUUAUACUCCCAGUAUGAUCCCAAUAGAACCCCAUUCUAAUCCCAGUAUAACCCCAUUGCCCCCAUUGGAAUCCCAUUACCACCCCAUUCUAAUCCCAGUAUGAUCCCAGUACAACCCCAUUAUAACCCCAUUAUAAUCCCAUUGCCCCCCAUUCUAACCCCAUUAGAACCCCAUUCUAAUCCCAUUUUAACCCCAUUGCCCCCAUU